AUACGUAGGUGGCAAGCGUUGUCCGGAUUUACUGGGUGUAAAGGGCGUGUAGGCGGAGAUGCAAGUCAGGAGUGAAAUCUAGGGGCUCAACCCCUAAACUGCUUUUGAAACUGUAUCCCUUGAGUAUUGGAGAGGCAGGCGGAAUUCCUAGUGUAGCGGUGAAAAGCGGCGAUAUUAGGAGGAACACCAGUGGCGAAGGCGGCCGGCUGGACGACAACUGACGCUGAGGCGCGAAAGCGUGGGGAGCAACCAGGAUUAGAUACCCUGGUAGUCCACGCUGUAAACGAUGAAUACUAGGUGUGGGGGGACUGACCCCCUACGUGCCGCAGUUAACACAAUAAGGAUUCCACCUGGGGAGUACGAUCGCAAGAUUGAAACUCAAAUGAAUUGACGGGG
rnacentral:rRNA from 1 species